UGCAAGUCGAGUGCGCGUCUGUAGCAAUACAGAUGGCGCACGGCGCACGGGUGCGUAACACGUGGGCAAUCUGCCCUUCGAUGGGGAAUAACUCCGGGAAACCGAAGCUAAUUCCGCAUAACAUUCCUUGGACUUCGGUUCGAGGACUCAAAGCCGUAAGGCGUCGAAGGAGGAGCCCGCGCCCGAUUAGCUAGUUGGCAGGGUAACGGCCUACCAAGGCUUUGAUCGGUAGCUGGUCUGAGAGGAUGGCCAGCCACACUGGAACUGAGACACGGUCCAGACUCCUACGGGAGGCAGCAGUGGGGAAUCUUGCGCAAUGGGCGAAAGCCUGACGCAGCGACGCCGCGUGGGGGAUGAAGCAUCUCGGUGUGUAAACCCCUUUCGACUGGGACGAAUACCUCGCAAGAGGGGUGACGGUACCAGUAGAAGAAGCCCCGGCUAACUACGUGCCAGCAGCCGCGGUAAGACGUAGGGGGCCAGCGUUGUUCGGAAUUACUGGGUGUAAAGGGUUCGUAGGCGGUGCGGCAAGUCGGGAGUGAAAUUUCUGGGCUCAACCCAGAAGCUGCUUCCGAAACUGCCGUGCUGGAGUGUGGGAGAGGCGCGUGGAAUUGCAGGUGUAGCGGUGAAAUGCGUAGAUAUCUGCAGGAACACCCGUGGCGAAAGCGGCGCGCUGGACCACAACUGACGCUGAGAACGAAAGCUAGGGGAGCAAACAGGAUUAGAUACCCUGGUAGUCCUAGCCCUAAACGAUCAGGACUUGGGGUGCCACCCGUUCGGGUGUCGUCCCGGAGCUAACGCGUUAAGUCCUGCACCUGGGGAGUACGGUCGCAAGACUGAAACUCAAAGGAAUUGACGGGGGCCCGCACAAGCGGUGGAACAUGUGGUUCAUUCACGCUCGCGAGGAACCUUACCUGGGCUC
rnacentral:rRNA from 1 species